GACGAACGCUGGCGGCGUGCUUAACACAUGCAAGUCGAACGGAAAGGCCCUGCUUUUGUGGGGUGCUCGAGUGGCGAACGGGUGAGUAACACGUGAGUAACCUGCCCUUGACUUUGGGAUAACUUCAGGAAACUGGGGCUAAUACCGGAUAGGAGCUCCUGCUGCAUGGUGGGGGUUGGAAAGUUUCGGCGGUUGGGGAUGGACUCGCGGCUUAUCAGCCUGUUGGUGGGGUAGUGGCUUACCAAGGCUUUGACGGGUAGCCGGCCUGAGAGGGUGACCGGCCACAUUGGGACUGAGAUACGGCCCAGACUCCUACGGGAGGCAGCAGUGGGAAUAUUGCACAAUGGGCGGAAGCCUGAUGCAGCAACGCCGCGUGCGGGAUGACGGCCUUCGGGUUGUAAACCGCUUUCGCCUGUGACGAAGCGUGAGUGACGGUAAUGGGUAAAGAAGCACCGGCUAACUACGUG
rnacentral:rRNA from 1 species